AGUAACGCGUGAGGAACCUGCCUCAAAGAGGGGGACAACAGUUGGAAACGGCUGCUAAUACCGCAUAAGCCCACGGCUCGGCAUCGAGCAGAGGGAAAAGGAGCAAUCCGCUUUGAGAUGGCCUCGCGUCCGAUCAGCUAGUUGGUGAGGUAAUGGCCCACCAAGGCAACGAUCGGUAGCCGGACUGAGAGGUUGAACGGCCACAUUGGGACUGAGACACGGCCCAG
rnacentral:rRNA from 1 species